rnacentral:tRNA from 1 species
GGAAGGGUCGCUCAGCGGAAGAGCACCCGUGGGCCCCUGGCCCGCGGAGGCCCUCUGGCCUCGUGGCGUUCGAAUCCCACCCCUUCCG